GUAGGAGGCAAGCGUUAUCCGGAUUCACUGGGCGUAAAGCGCGUGCAGGCGGUUCGGUAAGUUGGGCGUGAAAUCUCCUGGCUUAACUGGGAGAGGUCGUCCAAUACUACCGGGCUUGAGAGCGGUAGAGGAAGAUGGAAUUCCCGGUGUAGUGGUGAAAUGCGUAGAUAUCGGGAGGAACACCAGUGGCGAAAGCGAUCUUCUGGCCCGUUUCUGACGCUCAGACGCGAAAGCUAGGGUAGUAAACGGGAUUAGAGACCCCGGUAAUCCUAGCUGUAAACGAUGCAAACUUGGCGUCGGUGGCUUAAACUCCAUCGGUGCCGCAGCCAACGCGAUAAGUUUGCCGCCUGGGGACUACGGCCGCAAGGUUAAA
rnacentral:rRNA from 1 species